CUCGGAUCAGAAUGCUGUUUCCCCAUGCUCUUCCAAGGCUCAUUGAGCACUGACCCCAGCUCUGCUCAUGCCCCACACAGGUCACCCUCUGGGUAGCCCACUGUGUGGAUUCCAUGAAGCAUGCCCUUCUCCCACACAGUCAUCAGCAGUAUCAAUGACCUCCCUCUUCCCAGCUCCAUCAAAGCCAGCCCUGGAAUUAUUAAAGAAAGUCUGACUCCAAGGCAGCCUUUUCUUUCCUCUGCUGAGUGAUUUUCAUUCCUUACAAGAGGAGUUAUCUACAAGCAACAUCGUUCCUGAGGCCAACUGGUCCUCAGUGUCACUUGAGCAUCUGCUGUAUUGUCCUCCUCCUGUGUGGGUCACCGUUGUUGUCUGUCUCUGCAGUCACCAUGGUCUCCUGUCUGAACAGCCCCUCCACCUGGAGCUCUUUGUUUUCCAACUCAGCCACUGUUGACAGCAUAGGCACCUUUGUCUGACACCAUCCAAGCCUUCUUCCACUUGCAGUGUUGUGCUGGUAAAUGUUUAACGACCAGGUCUGGGGGUUUUGAGUUGGAAAUGUGAUGAGCGGCAAGUCCUGAUUUGUAGCAUUUGCCAAUUUACAGGACGUAAACGAUCUUGCCAUGGCCAAUUUCAAACUAAUAAUAGAACGACCAGCUCACAAAAUUCUGGAAAUUCACCAAUCAGUUUGAGCUUGCUCUCUCCAGAACACCAUUGUGUGACACAUCUUGUAACUGAUUUUCUGGAGGUGAACUACCCUUCCAUAACUCUGCCAAGCAAAUAACGGCAAUAUUCUAUGCAGAAGGAUGGGAGAAAUAAGUAAGAAAAAUAUAGGAAGUGCCUGCACCACGGUAUGACAUAGAGAAGGUAUUUCAUCAUACAAGUUGUCCUUCUCAUUCCUCUACAUGUGAAUAUAUCAGCAAUUCCCAC
ensembl:lncRNA